rnacentral:rRNA from 1 species
GACGAACGCUGGCGGCAUGCUUCACACAUGCAAGUCGAGCGGAGCGGCGAACGGGUGAGUAACGCGUGAGUAACUGCCCCCCUCUCUGGGAUAACAGUUGGAAACGGCUGCUAAUACCGGAUAUUGGGGGAUGACUCGCGUCCUAUCAGCUUGUGGGUGGGGUAGUGGCCUACCAAGGCGACGAAGGGUAGCCGGCCUGAGAGGGCGCCCGGCCACAUUGGGCUGAGAUACGGCCCAAAAUCGUAAGGGAGGAAGAAGUGGGGAAUAGUGCACAAUGGGGGAAACCCUGAUGCAGCAACGCCGGGGGCGGGAUGACGGUCUUCGGGUGGUAAACCGCUUUCAGCCAUGACGCGGUAGUGGCAGAAGAAGCACCGGCUAACUACGUGCCAGCAGCCGCGGUAAUAC